rnacentral:rRNA from 1 species
UUGUAGAGGGUGCUUUGGCGUUGGCUGUGNUCUAAGUUCCUUGGAACAGGACGUCGCANAGGGUGAGAAUCCCGUAUGUGGCCGCCAGUCUUCGCCGUGUAAAGCCCCUUCGACGAGUCGAGUUGUUUGGGAAUGCAGCUCUAAAUGGGAGGUAAAUUUCUUCUAAAGCUAAAUAUUGGCCAGAGACCGAUAGCGCACAAGUAGAGUGAUCGAAAGAUGAAAAGCACUUUGAAAAGAGAGUCAAAAAGCACGUGAAAUUGUUGAAAGGGAAGCGCUUGCAGCCAGACUUGCCUGUAGUUGCUCAUCCGGGCUUCCGCCCGGAGCACUCUUCUGCGGGCAGGCCAGCAUCAGUCCUGGNGGACGGAUAAAUGUUCGCCGAAUGUACCUCUCCUCGGGGAGGACUUAUAGCGGCGGGCGGCAUAC